rnacentral:tRNA from 1 species
GCCUGGGUGGCUCAGUCGGUUGAGUGUCUGACUUCGGCUCAGGUCAUGAUCUCGCGGUCUGUGAGUUCGAGCCCCGCGUCAGGCC